rnacentral:rRNA from 1 species
GAUGAACGCUAGCGGCAGGCUUAACACAUGCAAGUCGAGGGGUAUUGGUUUUCGGACCAAGAGACCGGCGCACGGGUGCGUAACGCGUAUGCAAUCUACCUUUUGCAGAGGGAUAGCCCCAGAGAAAUUUGGAUUAAUACCUCAUAGUAUAGUACUUUGGCAUCAAGGAACUAUUAAAGUCACAACGGCAAAAGAUGAGCAUGCGUCCCAUUAGCUAGUUGGUAAGGUAACGGCUUACCAAGGCUACGAUGGGUAGGGGUUCUGAGAGGGAGAUCCCCCACACUGGUACUGAGACACGGACCAGACUCCUACGGGAGGCAGCAGUGAGGAAUAUUGGACAAUGGGCGCAAGCCUGAUCCACGCCAUGCCGCGUGCAGGAUGACGGUCCUAUGGAUUGUAAACUGCUUUUAUACAGGAAGAAACACUCCGACGUGUC